AUGGCUGCUUCUUCCUCUUCUUCGGACCCAUGGAUCAACCCAUUCCCAACUAGCAAGGGAUGGGUUGCCAUGCUUUAUGGUUCUGCGCGCGGCGACGAAGACCUCUUCGUCGACUACAUGAAGGUCGCCACGAGGUACACCAGCGUUCAAGGGCUGGUGGAUGGAGCAGAGGAAGUGAGGAAGAAGGCGACGAGUGAGGAGAAGCAACGCAUGGACCAGCAGUAUGGAAACCGAGGUAAGGGGAUCAUGCCAAUAGAUAUACUGCUAUGGGCAAUGAAAGAGGCGGGAUCCGCUGAUGCUGGGCAGAGGCAGCGGUGGGCAGACUACCACUACGUCGCUCCAGCACAAUCUACGGCUGAAGCAAAUGCAAACAAGCACCAAGAUGAUGACGACGACCUCCAGAUCAUCGCACCACCAGCACUGCAGGCUCGCCGCCGCCCUCCUCCCAUCAUCUUCAUCGAUGAAGACAAAGAUGACGAAGAACAGGAGGUGCAGAUACUGCCAAAUCAUCCUACCAAAGUGAAGCAGGAGGUACGACGCUCAGGCCGCUUAGCAGGGCAGGGAUCCAGGGCAGGCGCCUAA
rnacentral:rRNA from 1 species